rnacentral:lncRNA from 1 species
CCCGUCCCUGGAGACACUCAAGGUUGGACUGGAUGGCGCUCAGACCACCUGAUGGACCUUGGAAAUAACAUCCUCUUGAAGUUGUUGAUUGGACAGUCAUACUUCUGAGUGCAAAUCCUCCAAAGGAGCUACAGGACUCUGCACUCAGGAAAGCAGUUGCACACAGAAAGAUUACUUUUUGGGGGCUAUCGUUUACCUUUUAAUCCUCUUAUUCUUUUCUCUGCAUAAUAAAGCGUUAUGGUAGUUUAGGUUGUUGUUGUUUGUUGUUUUAUUUUCUUUCAAUGUUUUUUAUUUAUUUAUGUAUUUUAUUUUCCCACAGCUACAGAAUGGUUCUUUCUUUAUAUGACAUACAAUUAUUUCUUGAAGAAGGAAGUUAUACCUGCAUGUAGCCAGAUCAGGAUAUAAGUACCAUGGGUAAUGUAUCUUGAAAGCCUCAUACCUGAUUUGCUAAAUUUACUUCUAAGCUGUCCACUUGAAAAUGGA